GCUCCACGUGCCAUCGCCGCGCUCAAACGACCAACAGAGGGCGCGCGUGGCCUGCAGACUAACGGUCACUUCCCAGUACAGUUUCACAAACCAAUUGAUCUAGGAGGGUCUUUUAACUCCUGCCCCAAUUCAUAGCGAUAACAAGGCCCAAGCUUCAUUUGCUGAAGGUGUGAGAUUUGGGGAGCAUCUCUCAGCGUAAGGAGUGAGUGAAAAGUUGCGAGAUCCUCGAUCCAAAACAAUUUUCGGUUUGUGGCCAUCUGACUUCUCUCCGAUGCCCAGAUGAUGCAGACAGCCCCACCUCAGCCAGUCCUUCCUUUUCCAGGCUCCUGUGGGCCUUCAACAGUCGGGGCGAUCCGUUGGGUCGGUCGUCGCCACUUCGGAGGAAUCAUCUCAUAACUGGGGCCUGCCUGUGUUUUGUGAGCUCUGUCCACAGAGAGUGCUGCCAUGCUUCUGCCAAGCAGGAGAAGCGUCCGGGGGUCUCCGGAACCCUUAAGGAAAGCCGUCUGCACAGAAGAUAAGCAUUUUCUGUGAGUCGUGAGUACUGGAGGUGAGGAAGCCCUGAGCCACACACACGCCAAAAGAGAGGUGCCCUGGUGCAGGCACCAUCUUCAUGCCCGACGAGAAGAGACACGCCCACCAGAGCCAAGAGAGAGAGCCAUUACACUCUGUCCUUGAAGGGACAGCCAGGUGACAGCUCCCUAAACCACACCCACCCUCUGCCUCCUUCACUCAAGGUGCUUUGUCUGACUGAAGCUGUGUGCGCAGUGAAGGCCGGCCGAUGCUUUAGGUCCGCAGGAAUGUGAUGGUCCAGCUACCGUGGAUAACCUACCGAAGGUGCUUCCCUUGGCCAUGGCCUCAGCGGGAAGGCCUCACACCACAUAAACUGCUAUACUGUAGGUAUGCCAGACCCUUGGCACCCAGUGUGUUCCCGGACCUGUGCCCUUCAGCCCAGGACCCUGUGCUCGCUGGCUACUUGUUCACAUGACACUGGAAACCUGUGCCCUUUCAAGAUGCCCCCUCUGUUGCUGUGAGUCGGUGGGGGCACGGGUCCCCCUCAGAGGUCUAGUACUGUAUCUACCCGGGAAGGGAGUCUCCACAGCCGUGUCUAGAAGGGUACCUGCAUACCACGUGUGACUGUGUUGAGAGUCCUUGCUCACGGCUAUGAUGUCAUUACUCCUCCUCCUCCUCCUCCCUCUCCUCGUCCUCCUCCUGGUUCGUGGUUGACAUCCUUGCUGUCUUCCCAUGACCACGACUUAGCCCUCCUGUUGGAAAGGCAAGAAGAGCAAAGGCUCCCUGGCGGCCCUGUCUUUUGUUGUUGUUCUCAUCAGUGCCUGGCUGGCUGACUUUACCUGAGAUCUACUUCUGUGGUCCUCUCACCCCUGCCCCGGAGAGGCCCUAUGUUCUCUGGGGUCUGGAGAGGGUUUGCUUGCCUGUGCUGAUGAGUCAGAGCCAGGCCUCCCUGUGGCCUUCCCACCAUACACCACAGAGCCAGAAUCCUCCUCUCUCCUGUCCUGGUGGACACCAGGCACAGGGAGAGCUGAGGCCUGAAGGAUACUGUGGAGUCAGUUGUGCCCUAGGCAGGAUGGCCAAAGGCUACUGGACAGUGGGGAUCGGGGCCUGCCACCAAUGGCCCUUUUGGCCCUGCCUCAGUGGGGGUGCUAUUUAAGUUUAGGUUCAAAAUGUCACCUCAUGCUCAAAAGCUCCUCCCAUUGCAGGGCUUAAGGAGCUGUGUGUCUUCCCCCACCUGGAAGGUAUGGGAAGUUCCUAAGAGAGCAGCCCGCCCUGGUGGCUCCUGUGCCUGACUCACCCGCUCACUGCUUUCUGGGACCCGAUGUUCUGAGGAAGCAGGUGUCUUCUGCUUUGUCUAGGUCGUAGUCUCUGGUCUUUGGUUCAUUGUCCUGUGAUACAAUUUCCAUGGGCCGUUUAGUAAUUAUUUUGCUCUUCUUUGAGAUAGCACGAAACGUGGAAGCAUAUUAAUAAUUGGACCUCUGAGCAGGUGCAAUGAAAGAUCCUAGAAAUGGGUGUGUGUGGAAGGCCGGGAAGCCUCAGUCCCCAUCCCCGUCGGGUGGCAGUGGGCAGGCCAGGUCCCUGGGAAGCUGUGGUGGAGGCCUUGCAGGCUGUGACCUGCCGCAGGUUCUGGAGCAGCUGAGCCCGGGUCUCCCGGCAGACGGGGGCCUGUAGCCGGCUCGAGGACGGUAAAUGACCAGGGGAACUGGCCUGUCCAGGUCCACUGAAGGUCCUCCAAAGCCUUGCCGGGGUGAGGGUCGCUGUGAUGUGGCAUGCUGCUGCCACACAGCCUGCCUUCAGAGGCACCAGGGAGCAAGACGCUGUCGGGAUGGUAAAGGAGGGCAUCUCUGCAGGCAAACAGGGACUCCAACUGCUGACCUCAGGUUCUGACUCCCUUAGCCUUGCUGGCAGGGACACAUCUGACUGCCCACUCUGUGGGCAGCCACAGAAACAUCUGGCUGGGCUCCUUUUGUCCCCGCCUCUCCCCCACCCCACCCCACCCCCCACACACACCCACUUCCCACAGGAGUGUGAAGAGCUUGACACACCUCUGUCUAUUCGGUUUCUAAUCCAAUGCCCUUCCUGGUUUCCUUUGAUGGAGGCAUAGGUAAACCUGGGCUGUUUUCCCAGUCAACUUUGAUGGCUAACGUGGGCAAGGAGACUCAGCACAGACAAGAGAACCUGGCGGCAGGGAUGGCGGUGCCUCCCACACAUUGCCUUUGCCCCGAUUGCCUUGGCAUCUUGGCAUUUAUGACCUUGGUAUGACCUUCAUCUUGCUGGUGACAGCACUGGUCCUUGGGGACUCCUGGACUUUCAGAAAGUGACUUCAUCCCCUCACUGAGGGCUGGGGAUUGGUGUGGGUGUGGUGGAGUAGCAGACAUACCCAUCCCAUCCUGUGUGCUCAGGGGAACUUGGUUUAUGGUCCCUGCCUGGGCCUUGUGUCUAUCCUUGGGCAGCUGUGUUCCUUGCAUUGGCCACAGCAAAGCCCUGUCUGUGGUUCUCAGAAGUUGUGAUGUGCUCAGUGACCGGCUGGCACUCCUGAGUCACAUCGCUCCUCCAUAGACAGAGCUCUGGUCCAGGGUCACCACCGUGCACUGUGUGGCCUGGACCUCCUGCCACCCUUCCUCAUUGUCAGUGGUGAAGCUGCUGGAGGAAAGGCCACACUGGGUUCACCCCCAGGGGUCCUCUGCUCUGCCUUGGCAGGGUGCCUCAUUCCCUCCUGGUCUCUAUGAAGUCCCCUGUGGUCCUCUCUGGGGUUGCUGAUCGAUUCUUCUUUUUUUUCACUCUUCUCCCACCUUGAGGGACUCGGGAGAGUCCCUGAGCACCGUGGAGCAUGCAAGCCCUUGCAUGGCCGAUUGUCCCCUUGACUCUCUGUCCCCUACGAUAGGUAAGGACUCCUGCCCUGUUGUAUCCUCAGAGUGGGUGCUGCCUGGUGAGAUUGUGUGUCCUGAUGACUGUUCAACACAAAGAUGAGUCCCUAAUAAAUGCACAGUUGUUGAUUGAAAAUAACUCUGGACGUGGGAAGUCCAAGGCCAAGGUCCCGACAGACGGAUCGCCUGGUGCAAGCCCAAAGCUCAUGAACAGCACCUUAGAGCUGAGGUCCACAGGCAGAGGCUUAAGAGAGCUCCCCUGGGCCCAGGUUCUUGAGGGCACUAGUCAUGUUCAUGGAGGAGUGUGUGUAAACGUGUUAUCAGUAUGUGUUUGUGAGUGUGUACACACACAGCCCUGUUCCUUCUCUCACGGUGGAAAUUAGGUUGUAACAUAUGAAUUUGGAGGGACACCAACUGUCCGUUCCCGGCAUGUCCUAAAGAAUGUGGAAUAUACAGGAUGAAGAGGCUCCAGGUUGUGUCUGUGGCCUCUGGACGUUACGGGAACUGUCCCUCCCUGACCGGUGGGGUCCGGGCUUAUGUGGAUGGGUGACCCAGGACCUCGGGGGCUGGGCAAGGUGCUGUGGAGCAGCAGGGCAGCACUGAGAGCCACUUCCCUUGACUGAGUGGACAAGGGGCAGCCUCCCUUUCUGCCUCCUACAGCACACAGCUGCCAGCCCUGUCCCACCCCUCAGACCUUAGCUCUGCCCAUAACUGCUGCUCCAGUGACUUUCCAAAGAUGCUGUCAUUCCCUCUAGAUGAGAGCAGAUCAGAGUCACUCUCCUAACUGUCCUGGGCCCACACAUGUCCUGAUCCUUCUCCCUUCUCACUUCCAGGUGGCUGUCAUUGUCUUUUCCUAUGGGUUCUUGCCUUGUGCCAGGCUUCUCCUGGAUCUGGAGGUGGUCAGGGCCAGACAGGAAGAAGGAAAGGCGAGAUUGGUCAGCUCUUUAGACAGUGUUGAAAAUGUGCCUCCUGGAGACAGCUCUGGACAGCUCUUCACAGGAGGUCAGGCCAUGCCUCGGGGCUGAGGCAGGAGCAUGGCCUUCACCACCAGGCUUUGCCUCCCGAGGCCUCUGCACAUGUGAGUCUGGGCUGUGUGGUGCCCUGCUUGCCCCUCUAUCCUUCUACCUCACCACAUCUCUUUCUCUGAGGACAUUUGCUUGGUUUCUCUGAGUUCCAACAGUCCUUCAGACAGUUGGGGGAGGAAAGAAGAGGAGAGACUGUGUCCCUGUCUCCCUUGGCCUUUGCCUUGGCUCCUCUUGCUGUCUGGUUCUUGUUGUCAACCUGCUUGGCCAACUGGAGGCUACUGAAUUCUGUCACAUGUCAGGCCACAGAUGCCCUCUGCCCACCAAAUAAAAAAAGGAAGUGCUGGGGAGAUGGCUCAGUGGUUAACGCUGCUUGCUCCCUUCUCAGGGCCAGAUCUCAGGCCCCCCAACCCCCUGUGAUAUGCCCAGCAUUCCUGCCAACUUCCAACUCCUGGAAUCCCAAGUGUGGAGGGGUGGAGACAGGAGGAUAUCUGGGACUUGCCUGCUUUUAGCCUAGUAGAGAUGUGAACCCAGGGCUCAGGAAGAAACCCUGCUUUAAGGGACAAUGCAGAGUGACUGAGGAGGAUGGCUAGUUGCCGUCUUCAGGAUCUGUGAGGGACCGGGUGAGCCCAGGGUACAGAAAAGAGGUCUAACAGGGGAGAGGAGCACAGCCCAUGGCUCAGUAACCCCACAGGGAGACCUUCACCACCGCCCUCAUAUGACUUUGUGUUCUUGAGUGAGCAAGAAAAGCAUGCGUUCGUCUCCCUGGACGCUCAGUCACAGCUGAGAACUCCUAAAUUGACAGAUAGUGGCCUGUGAUUUGAAAGUCACUCUGUGCUGCUCCCUUUGCCCAGGAUAGCUUCACCAUCCCUCCACGGGACCACCAAGUCCUCAUGCCCAUUCUGAGGUGUGAAGGUUCCUACACACGCAUGUACUCUCCAGCAUCCUCACAGUUAAAGCUCUCUGUGCUCCCUGUAUGCUAAGUGCUCACUGACCUCCUGUCCCCUGGGAUAGUCCUCCCUGGAGUCCACCUGACCCCGGGUACCCUAGUAUCUAUCCAGAGUUUUUCAUCUUCCUAAAGUGCUAGUUUAAAUUACAUGUUUGCAAAAGUGAGCACACUGUCACACAUUCACAAUGUCUUAGAACUGGCAGGGCUGUCGUCCCACACUUGCACAGUGAGGUUGCUAUGUUCUCGUCAUGACCUUGUCCUCCACAGACUUAGAAGUCCUUAGAGCCUCCUGUAGUCAUUGGUACUGCUUUCUGUGGUGUACCUGUGUCCUGAGGCUCCCUCCAACCUUGUGGGCAGGACUGUGUAGCCUGUCCCAUUGUUCCCUCCUCUGGUGCAUUUGAGAGUGGAGGUCUUUUGCUUGGCCUUCUAGCUCUUUCUUGUCUCUUGAGUUUUCUCCUGGUAUGACUCUCUGAACUUUUACAAGAGUCCUCAGCAUUCAAUGCCAGAGUCAGUCUGAACCCAAGUUAGAGUCAGGGAUUGUUUUCUCAUUCAUUUGACAGAGGGUAGGACGAAGGUGAAUCCAGGUAGUGUUCUUGAAGUAUGUCUUUCCUGGGCUUAGGUGCCCUUGUGACUGUGUGUGGAAGGGGUUGUACUAAACAGUCCAACCUUGCCUGUCCCAGCUCUCUGUUGUAUAUUGAGAUGUUCUGGAACCUUGAUGCUUUCUCCCACUUAUAAAUUUCAGAUUCAUGUGUCCACAUAUCUGCAAUGUGUUUUCUAAUGUGUCGUACACAUAUGUCUUCCAGUUGGAAAAUGAAUGUGUAUUAAAAAUAUACAGUCCUAACUGGCUUUCGGGAAGUACACUUAUGUUCCUGGCAGGCAGCAGCCUGUGGAGCAGGAAGAUUGUUGAGUUUCCUACACCAUGGGCUGCUCCAUGAGUCUUUUUAAUGUUUGUUUUUAUUUUAACAAAGCUAAAAGGUACAUAUGUGUGUUCUAUGAGAAUGAUUAUUCUCAAAGGAAUUGUCACAGGCAUCUUUAUUAUUUAAAAUUACAUUUAUCAAGGAAAAUAACUUUUCAUCGUCCAAUAUCAUGAGUAAAGUAUGAGAUGAGGACAAUCAUGAUGUCAUCAGCAGGAAACACAGAAUGGUUUGUAAGUGUCCUCUAAGUUUCACUUUAUUUUCAGCACUGGCCAAGAAGAUAUUCUCAGGGAGUAAACAAUGUGAUAGAGCCUGGAGAGAUGGCCUGUACCAUAGCCUAAAAACAGGUUCUCUUGGGGAGGACCUACAUUCCAUUUCUAAUACCCACAUUGUACAUGACAACCAAUGAAUUCCAGUUUUAAGGGAACUGACCAUUUUGAGUAUCAAGUGCACAUCAUACGUGUAGGUAAAACAUACACACAAAAUACAUAUUUUCAAAACAUUUUAUGUACAUGAGUAUUCCAUGUGCCUACCAGAAGGAGGCAUCAGAUUUCAUUAUAGAUGGUUGUGAGCCACCAUGUGGUUUCAGGGAAUUGAACUCAGGACCUCUGGAAGAGCAGUUAGUGCUCUUAACCGCUGAGCCAUCUCUCCAGUCCCUAGAAUACAUUAAAAAAAUACGUUUAUGCAAGAGAGAGCCUUAGAGUUAUAUAUAUAAAAAACCUUUUUUGAGACAGAGUCUUAGAUUCACUUUUAAAUAAGGGAACUAAUAUUUUCUUUUUUAAAGACAAGUUAAUGUUGUGCAUGUGUGUGCAUUGAGUGUCAGUCACAGAAGUGGGUGUCAGAUCUUGUAGAUUUAAAGCUGGGUGUAAGUCACCUAAUGCAGGUGUUGGAAACCAAACUGAAGUUGUCUAUAGGUGUGGUUUCAUAUCUGCUGACCUUGUCUCCAGCUCACUCCACCAUGCCCAAACUCUCUCAGUCUGAUGGCAGCAGAGCAUUCCAGGCAGGCAAAACCAACAGUUCAGGACUGUGAUGGAGCAAUGUAUUUCAGGGAAAGCCAAAUGUGAAACAAAGUUGGAUUUAUUUAAAAUGUAAAAAGCACCUCAGUAAAUGGAGUAAACCAGACCACUCAGGACAAGUGUGGGCAGAGUCACAGGUGUCUUUUAACAAAGGAUAAGAGAUUCUGAUUGCUUUCGUUACAUUGUUCAAGUUGCAAACAAAAGAAAACAAAAAUCCCUUCCCUUUUGUCCAACACUGUUAAAGUAUAUACAAUAUGUACCAAAGCUUUUAUAGCUUUUCUCAGUUAACAGAGCAAUGAAGGUCAUUAUCAAGGUCUAGGUGGGGAAGUGAGGGAAUAUAAGGUUAUAUAUCAUUAUAGACUUACGUAAGCACAGGGUAAUUACUAUCUGCUAUUUAUUAGGUGAUUACUAUUUAUUUGUUUAUUUUGGUGUGAAGAGACACCAUGACCAAGACAAUUAUUAAAAAGGACAAGGGGUUGGGGAUUUAGCUCAGUGGUAGAGCGCUUGCCUAGCAAGUGCAAGGCCCUGGGUUCAGUCCCUAGCUCCGAAAAAAAAAAAAAAAGAAAAAGAAAAAAAAAAAAAGGACAAGAUUUAAUUGGAUCUGGCUUCCAGUUUCAAAGGUUCAGUUCAUUAGCUUCGUGGGAAGCAUUGCAGCAUCCAGGCAUACAUAGUUCUGGAGAAGGAGCUGAGAGUUCUACAUCUUGAUUGACAGGUAGCAAAGAGGAGACUGUCUCAAUACUAGGUGUAGCCUGAGCAUAAAUGAGAUCUGAAAGUCCACCUCCACAGUAAGGGGCUUACUCCAACAAGGCCACACCUACUCCCAAACUACGCUACACCUCCUAACAGUGCCACUCCCUAUGGGGCAAGUAUUUAAACACCUGAGUCUAUGGGGCUCAUUCCUAUUCAAACCACCAUACCAUCCUUGAUAUCAGUGAUUGAGGCACUGCUGGGAAUCUCAUCUGACACCAAGUGAGUAAUUUAUUCUAGUCUUCGUUGAGAUACCCUUCAGAGAAUACAUGUCUCUGUUAACUAUUUGGUCCUUACCAGUUAUAUCUGGUGUCUGAAGUCUCCUGCCUUCUGAGCAUUAAAAACAGAUGAGGUCCAAAGAGCAGAGUUACCCCCCUCUCUCAACCCUUUCCAAGCUGUACGUGUCACUUCCUAUCUUGGACUGUUAGAUUCAAACUUAAGGACAAAGGCUGCCUUAGGCAAACACCAGGUGGAAUUUAGGAAAACACCCAGUUCCAGGAAAUGAGCUAACCAUUCUUAGCAGGGGUCCUUCACCACCUGCUCUGCAUGCCAAAGGUAUUUCCCCAAGGGCUUCCAAUGAAUUCAAAGGACAAUAGGCGGCCACCAAUGAAUUAAAAAAGUAAUAGGCCCCACCAAAGAGAAAUAACCAACUCAUGCUGUAACCUAAAGCCUACACCUGAAACAGUAUAAAGGGCGUGGGCCUUUGUUCUUCAGGGUCGCCUCUGUCCCGAGUACAGGGUCACCCCAGUGUACUGGAUUAUUAAACCUCUUGCUUAUUGCAUCGA